rnacentral:piRNA from 1 species
UACUAGGUGAAUAUUCCGAUGUUUUCGA